rnacentral:rRNA from 1 species
CGGGGCUCUUUGGUGAUUCAUGAUAACUAUACGAAUCGCACGGCCUUGCGCCGGCGAUGGUUCAUUCAAAUUUCUUCCCUAUCAACUUUCGAUGUUUGGGUAUUGGCCAAACAUGGUUGCAACGGGUAACGGAGGGUUAGGGCUCGACCCCGGAGAAGGAGCCUGAGAAACGGCUACUACAUCCAAGGAAGGCAGCAGGCGCGCAAAUUACCCAAUCCCGACUCGGGGAGGUAGUGACAAUAAAUACUGAUACAGGGCCCUUUCGGGCCUUGUAAUUGGAAUGAGUACAAUUUAAAUCCCUUAACGAGGAACAAUUGGAGGGCAAGUCUGGUGCCAGCAGCCGCGGUAAUUCCAGCUCCAAUAGCGUAUAUUAAAGUUGUUGUGGUUAAAAAGCUCGUAGUUGAACCUUGGGCCUGGCUGGCCGGUCCGCCUCACCGCGUGCACUGGUCCGGCCGGGCCUUUCCCUUCUGUGGAACCCCAUACCCUUCACUGGGCGUGGCGGGGAAACAGGACAUUUACUUUGAAAAAAUUAGAGUGCUCCAGGCAGGCCUAUGCUCGAAUACAUUAGCAUGGAAUAAUAAAAUAGGACGCGCGGUUCUAUUUUGUUGGUUUAUAGGACCGCCGUAAUGAUUAAUAGGGACAGUCGGGGGCAUCAGUAUUCAACUGUCAGAGGUGAAAUUCUUGGAUCAGUUGAAGACUAACUACUGCGAAAGCAUUUGCCAAGGAUGUUUUCAUUAAUCAGGAACGAAAGUUAGGGGAUCGAAGACGAUCAGAUACCGUCGUAGUCUUAACCAUAAACUAUGCCGACUAGGGAUCGGACGGUGUUAUUCAUGACCC